rnacentral:rRNA from 1 species
AUAUUGCUGACGACGGCGCAGGGUGAGUACGCGUAUGCACCUACCUUUGACUGGAGAAGAGCGCGAAGAAAUUCGGAUUAAUGCUCCAUGAGACCACAAUACCGCAUGAUAUAGUGGUAAAAGCUCCGGCGGUCAAAGAUGGGCAUGCGUGCCAUUAGUUAGUUGGUGAGGUUACGGCUCACCAAGACAACGAUGGCUAGGGGGUCUGAGAGGAUGAUCCCCCACACUGGUACUGAGACACGGACCAGACGCCUACGGGAGGCAGCAGGGAGGAAUAUUGGUCAAUGGACGCAAGUCUGAACCAGCCAUGCCGCGUGCAGGAUGAAUGCCCUAUGGGUUGUAAACUGCUUUUCUACAAGAAGAAACUUCCUGAUGUAUCAGGAACUGACGGUAUUGUAGGAAUAAGCAUCGGCUAACUCCGUGCCAGCAGCCGCGGUAAUACGGAGGAUGCAAGCGUUAUCCGGAUUCAUUGGGUUUAAAGGGUGCGUAGGCGGGGUAGUAAGUCAGUGGUGAAAGCCUGCGGCUUAACCGUAGAAUUGCCAUUGAUACUGCUAUUCUUGAGUGCACUUGAGGUAGGCGGAAUUGUGUAAUGUAGCGGUGAAAAUGCUUAGAUAUUACACAGAACACCGAUUGCGUAGGCAGCUUACUAAACUGUAACUGACGCUGAGGCACGAAAGCGUGGGGAGCGAACAGGAUUAGAUACCCUGGUAGUCCACGCUGUAAACUAUGAUCACUCGCUGUUGGCGAUACAUUGUCAGCGGCUGAGCGAAAGCAUUAAGUGAUCCACCUGGGGAGUACGGCCGCAAGGUUGAAACUCAAAGGAAUUGACGGGGGCCCGCACAAGCGGUGGAACAUGUGGUUUAAUUCGAUGAUACGCGAGGAACCUUACCUGGGCUUAAAUGCAGAACGACGUACCGGGAAACUGGUACUCCCUUCGGGGCGGACUGCAAGGUGCUGCAUGGUUGUCGUCAGCUCGUGCCGUGAGGUGUCGGGUUAAGUCCCAUAACGAGCGCAACCCUCAUUGUUAGUUGCCAGCGAGUAAUGUCGGGGACUCUAACGAAACUGCCGGUGUAAACCGUGAGGAAGGUGGGGAUGACGUCAAAUCAGCACGGCCCUUAUGUCCAGGGCUACACACGUGUUACAAUGGCCAGUACAAAGGGCAGCUACCACGCGAGUGGAUGUAAUCUCUAAAGCUGGUCUCAGUUCGGAUUGAAGUCUGCAACUCGACUUCAUGAAGCUGGAAUCG